rnacentral:rRNA from 1 species
CAGUCGCCGCGGGAAUACGAAGGGGGCUAGCGUUGUUCGGAUUUACUGGGCGUAAAGCGUGCGUAGGCGGUGAGUUAAGUCUGCUGUGAAAUCCCCGGGCUCAACCUGGGAAUGGCAGUGGAUACUGGCUCGCUAGAGUGUGUCAGAGGAUGGUGGAAUUCCCGGUGUAGCGGUGAAAUGCGUAGAGAUCGGGAGGAACAUCAGUGGCGAAGGCGGCCAUCUGGGACAACACUGACGCUGAGGCACGAAAGCGUGGGGAGCAAACAGGAUUAGAUACCCCAGUAGUCCCUGUCUCUUAUAA